UAGCCCCUCAUUCUAAGAUAGGGUUUGGAGGAACUCCCCCUCUAGUCCUGAGAAGCCCCAAAUACAGACUGCAGCUGUCAUGUGUUGUCUUUUUCCUGUCAGGAGACAAUGAAUCUAAGGAGCAUAGAAGCUGGGUAGAAGGGAAUCCGUCAUGGUGGCAUCUCCGCAAAAUUCUCAAUCCAUUCAUCAAGUUUUCAUAUUGUACUCUUUGAAUGAUAACCACAAAGCAGUUAUGAUAUAAUAUAGGGCUCCAAAACCAUGAUCCAGAAAACCUUGAGGCAUUCUGUUUUUUCCCCUGAAACCAGAUGGGAUCUCGGAGCCCUGUGCUGAUUAUAGUGAAUCCGCAGAGGAAAGAGGCAGCUGUCAGCUCUUGAGCUAAGAGUACUUUUGCAAUUUUGUUACACUUCAACAAUGUAACCACCUUUCUGUGAUAAUUUGCAUCCACUGAAACCACUCCGUGCAUUUAAUGAAUUCUGCAUCAGACACCAUGUUGGAGACAGCAGAAAUGGACUUAGAUUGAACUGAAUAACAUUACACUGGAAAGAGGGAGUGAAUCAGAUGAUAACACCGCCUGGAGAAGAUGCAUUAGCUUCCUACCUGAAUCUUUCUUGGCCUGCAGUGUCCCAUAUUUGGAGCUUGACAAAUUUAUUUACCACGUUGAUUAUUUUUGAUCCAAACUCCACGCCUAUGGUAUGAUUGGAGUCGUCUUUGACUAGUCAAACAAAUGGUACACAAUUGUGUUACAACCUCCGAAAAAACACAAUUUAAAAAACACAAUUUAAAGCAAAUUAACAGACAUGCACGCACGCACACAAUGCUAAACUAGUGCUCAAGCUUUUUAAAAUUAAUUCCACUUAAAUAAUACAAUACUUGAAAGUAUAGGGACCAUGGCACCACAAAAGCCACAACUCACAUUUCUUUUCUAUAAACUGGUGAAGAAGACAUGACUUCCCCGUCCCUGCAUUCCCAAUCACGAGAAAUUUGAACAAGAAAUCUGAAGGGGAAUUAAGGAAAAAGCGUUACCUGCAUAGUGCCAAUUCCGUUGUUAUUUUUCAACUUCCAGCACACAGAACUUUCAAAGGACAGCCAUUUGAAAGCAUCUGGACAGCAUCCACUUUAAGUCCCAUGUUCAGUGUACAAAUAAAUACAUGAUUUAUCCCUGUAGUUCUUAACAUGAGAUGACCAAAGUGCAUGUGUAUGUGUAGAGAUGCCAGGGGAAGGGGUGAGUAAAGUUAAUCAAACCAAUAUUUAAAGGCACCGAUGACAUAUUCGUAAAGAUCGAGGACGUGUCUAUCUAGUUUCACGGUUCGACUAUACGACCGAACCCAAGGUGCGCAGAGAUUCACGUAACUAAUAGCCUACUGGUCUGAAAUAUUAACUGUAGCCUACUGUGCGCCCAGUGAUGCGACUUCGAUGUUAGGUUUUUAAAGCACGAAUGAACAGCGCUUUCAACUGUAACAGCGACACACGUACCCAGUUUAUGAACAAAUAAGCUUCUCCAUACAGCUAUGGGGUAAUCAAAAAGAUAG